CUUCUUUAUCUACAUUUGUUAUUUUCUUUGCACUAGUGAUUGACCUUGAUAUAGUAGAUGACUGAUUAGAGACUUCAACUUCAAUUAUAUCUCCCUUAAUGUUUUCUCCAAAAAGGUCACCACUGGUAUGCAUAGUUUUAUACAUUGCAUGCUCAGGUUCUAUUUCAACAUCUUUCACGUUCAAACUUUUAAAGUCAAUUUCAAGAUCUGCUUCUUUGAUUUUCUCGAUAGCAGCACCACGUUUCCAGUCUGAACGUCUUCAGCAUCAUCUUGCUUCUUAUUAGCGCCUUUCUUCUUCACAUGAUAAAUUUUAUUAUAUUCGAUCUGGCCCCUUUCCAAAUUUAUGAAAGCCAAGGCAUCUAUUGCCCGACUUUUAAUUGCUAAGCAUAUUUUUCAGCCUUGUUCUUCUUCAACAACUUUUUUAGUUAGAGCCAUGUUGCUCUCUGUGGCUUGACAAUAUCUUCUUUUGCGUCCUGCUUUGGCACACCGAUAACAUUUGAGAGGUUUCUUACUAUAAUUGUUAAAAGUCUCUUCCUUUUUUUCAAGCGAGCUUGAACCACCUAAUAAUCGAGAGUGAGACAUAUCUCUUGCUUUUCCUUUAAGGUUCCUCUUGUCAACUACAAGAGCAUUUUCUUCCCUUUCUUCGACAAAUUCACCAUUCAAUUAUUUGGAUAGUAACUCAUGUGAUGACAAUAAAUUCUCAAAUUCCUCCAAGGAUGGUUGUUGAGUCCAUCCUUGAAUCGAUGUCACACAGGGAAUAUAUUCUGGCUUCAAACCACGAAUAAUAUUUUUUCUUAUUUGUUCAUUAGAGAUAGCCUCAUCCAAAUUUAAUAAAGAGAUCUCAGAACAUAAAUUCUUAAUCCUUAAGAAAUACUCAGCAAUAGAAAGAUUACCUUGGUUGGUGUUAGCAAAAGAAAGAUGUAGUUGGAGAGACCUUCUGCUAACCCAAGAUCGUUAACUAAGAUCGAAAGAUUCAACUAAGAAGAGGAAGCUAUGAUAAUAGAAGGGAGAUAUUGGAUAAGAGAACUUGGGUAUAGAAGAAGUUUACUUGAAUGGAUUUUUUUUUUUAA
rnacentral:lncRNA from 1 species